CGAAUUUAUGGAUAAGAUUUAUAUCUUGUGGUAGACGAGCGUUGUAUUGGAGUUGAAGUCAAAGCGUGAGCAUUGGUGGAUCCAAUACAAGUGAGAAUGCCGGCAUGAGUAACGCUUGGGAGUGAGAAUCUCCCAAACCGAUUGACUAAGGUUUCCUGGACCAGGGUCGUCCUUCCAGGGUUAGUCUGGACCUAAGCUGAGGCUGAAGAGCGUAAGCGAUGGACAACAGGUUAAUAUUCCUGUACUUACAGUUAGACUGAUGGAGUGACAAAGAAGGUUCUCCACCCCCAUAAUUGGAUUUGGGGAUAAAUCAUAAGGUGGUACAAUAGGCAAAUCCGUUGUGCAUAACAUUGAGUGACGAUGUC
rnacentral:rRNA from 1 species